rnacentral:rRNA from 1 species
AUGAACGCUGGCGGCGUGCUUAAUACAUGCAAGUCAACGGAUGAGUUUCUAGCUUGCUAGAAGAUGAUCAGUGGCGAACGGGUGAGUAAUACGUAGGCAACCUGCCCCAAAGCGGGGGAUAGCAGUUGGAAACGACUAUUAAUACCGCAUAGGUAAUCUUAAGGCAUCUUGAGAUUAUUAAAGGUGCGUUUGCACCGCUGUGGGAUGGGCUUACGCUGUAUUAGCUAGUUGGUGAGGUAACGGCCCACCAAGGCGAUGAUACAUAGCCGGCCUGAGAGGGUGAACGGCCACAUUGGGACUGAGACACGGCCCAGACUCCUACGGGAGGCAGCAGUAAGGAAUUUUCGGCAAUGGACGAAAGUCUGACCGAGCAACGCCGCGUGAGUGAUGAAAAGGUCUUCGGAUCGUAAAGCUCUGUGGUAAAGGAAGAAUACCAUGGACAGGAAAUGGUUCAUGGCUGACGGUACUUUACUAGAAAGUCACGGCUUACUACGUGCCAGCAGCCGC